UACGUAGGGUGCAGGCGUUAAUCGGAAUUACUGGGCGUAAAGCGUGCGCAGGCGGUUUGCUAAGACAGGUGUGAAAUCCCCGGGCUUAACCUGGGAACUGCGCUUGUAACUGGCAAGCUGGAGUGUGGCAGAGGGGGUGGAAUUCCACGUGUAGCAGUGAAAUGCGUAGAGAUGUGGAGGAACACCGAUGGCGAAGGCAGCCCCCUGGGCUAACACUGACGCUCAUGCACGAAAGCGUGGGGAGCAAACAGG
rnacentral:rRNA from 1 species